GACGAACCGUGCAAACGUUGUUCGGAAUCACUGGGCUUAAAGGGCGCGUAGGCGGGCAAGCAAGUCGAAGGUGAAAUCCCACGGCUCAACCGUGGAAGUGCCCCCGAUACUGCUUGUCUUGAGGGAGAUAGGGGCGUGCGGAACUUCCGGUGGAGCGGUGAAAUGCGUAGAUAUCGUUUGGAACGCCAAUGGUGAAAACAGGUUGCUGGGAGUGCGCUGACGCUGAGACACGAAAGCCAGGGGAGCAAACGGG
rnacentral:rRNA from 1 species